CACAGCCAUCGUUUGUCGGUAAUCGUAUUCAGCGCAAAAAUCUGCUCCAUUACACGGAAAAUAUUUUCAGAAUUCCCGGCUCUUUUCCGCUUUCCCGAUUUAUCCGUGGAGAAUUACCAAGAGACCUUAUUAAUUCCUCAGAAUCCGGAGAGCAUGCGAAGUUUUUCACUGACGUUUGUCGUGGGAUUGAUGCUGAUGUUGAUGAUCCUCAGUUGUGACGUCAGCAUAACGGAAGCGAGGCGAUGCACCAGGAUUUGUGAAAAGGGACGAUGCAGACCAGUUUGCUUGCGAGAAGCCGAGUUUGCCGACAAUAGUCCUGCGGACGACACGGAGAUUGGAAACAACAUCGAAGUACCAUGAUGGCCGCACUUGGAACGCCAUUCAACUUUUCUUUCUAAGUUUUGCAGUCUCUAAAGUGAUUUGUGCAAGCGAAUUCUCUUGUGUUGUGAAGAGAUGAGUCGUCUGCAUUUCACAACUAAUGGAUUACUGUUUGCUCCUGAAAAAUUUAUCAGCUUUUAAGACGUUUCGUUUGAGACACAAACCCUUUCUUCAAUAUAAAUGUGUAGCUUAGAUGUGCAAAAAUUUCAUCAGCAUAGUCAAGGAAUAAUUGCAGUUGCCUCUCCUCAGCAUGAUCCCUAUUGAUUUUAACAAUUAAAUGGUGCUGAAAUAGCAUUCUGAAAAUGUGUCAGAUAUUCUCUUUUGACCUUUUUGCGGUGUUGACUUUUGAAGAUGUUAUUUAUUGAUUUUUUCCCCCUUGACAUUUCUUCUUGUAAUAAAUGUUUAAUCUUGUAGUAUUUGCUUUAAAUGUAUGUACGUUUCUGUUUAAAGUAUCAAUAAAGUUU